AGAACCUGCCGUAUACUGGGGGAUAACACUUAGAAAUAGGUGCUAAUACCGCAUAAGCGCACAGCUUCGCAUGAAGCAGUGUGGAAAACAAAAAGCUAAAGCUUUUGGUGGUAUACGAUGGAUCCGCGUCUGAUUAGCUAGUUGGCGGGGUAAAGGCCCACCAAGGCGACGAUCAGUAGCCGGCCUGAGAGAGUGAACGGCCACAUUGGGACUGAGACACGGCCCAAACUCCUACGGAAGGCAGCAG
rnacentral:rRNA from 1 species